rnacentral:lncRNA from 1 species
GAGCAUUUCUAAAUGACUUGAAGCUCUGUCACGGCAUAAUCUCUUAUAAAUAAAUGUCAGUGUAGUCACUGAAUGCAGACUGGAUUUUUGCCUGACUACGGUGCUCAGCCUUCUAGACAAUAGUUAUGCUAAGGGAUUAUCUUUUAACAUUGUGCAGUUAUCUCCUUUGUUUGUUUUCUUUUUUCAUUAUUCACAUAAGCCAAGGGAAAUGAAAAGCAUCUUAUUUCAGGCAAAAAGGCCUGUGAAUGAUUAACUCUGGUUCCAUGCGUUGGGACUUUGCAUAGCAACCCCGUGGCUUGCAACGACAAAAAAGCUCAAGGCAGGAACAGCAGCCCAGGGACCUGAGACCAGCGUUCUCAAAUGAAGGUGAUCUGCUGUUAGAGGAGAAUUCUUCUGUCCUAGCUGUGUCUCUGUGAUCUGUGGAUGAGGGUGGGAAAGCACCACUCAGUCAAUUGGGGUGUACAAAAUGGAGUUUGAGAAGGUCUCACAUCCAGGUUGUUUUGAAGCAAAGUCCAAGCAUUGUAUCACUUCAUCUGCAAAUAUUUCAAUAAGUACCCAAAAGUGGUUGGACUGAGUCCCAUGAAGCCAGAUCACUUCUGACUGCAAGGAGCUUGGAAAAGCAAGUAUCUGGAUCUUUUACCAGCUAAAUUUGGAGCGAUGAGGCUUCCUCUUUGAAGAUCACAGGUGAGAAGAUUAGGUGCUUUCUCAGAAGCCCAGCAACCUGAUGGGAGUGUGGAGUGAGCAAGACCCAAAUCGGAGCUUCAUCCCUGCAUGGUUCAUUUUGCUUAUUUGGCAAACUUGCCCUGCAGAAUCUACUCAAGCUUCCUCAGUUUCUCAAAUCAUUCUUGGGCAACAAAUGAACAAGAAAGAGGACGUCUUAUUAUCUGGUGUCUGGCUUGCUGAUUUAAUAACCUAGGAGACAGUGUUUGAAGAACACAAACUCUAAAGUCCUUCACUUAAAAAAAAAAAAAAACUUUCCCAAAUUGCUUACCAUUUGGAAAAAUUGCCUUACCUUCUUCAGUCAUCUCUGAUGUUGUCAUCCUCAGAGUAAGAAGUACGCAUUCAUAAGGAACCAUAACGUCCUUCAGGAAAUCCAGUACACCCUACAAUUUUACCUAAAACUUUGAUGUUGUUUUUUCUGAGCAUUUUACCUUCUAGGGAAAUGGAUCUCAUGCUGUUUAUCAGUUUCUGAAAGUUGUUAUUAAUCUCCCCUCAUCCCAAAAUUGAAGAACUUUGCUUAAAUCUUAGAAUCAGAACUUUGGCUCCAGUAAUAAAGACUUUUCAAUAUCUUUAUCUGCCAUUGAGUCUUACCUAACGAAAUAAAGCCUCCAAAGUGGGAAUUUGAAA